GGGUUGCCCCUUCAUGUUAAAAAUCUAACGUGUUAUUAAGUCAAAUCAAGAAGCUGAUACUCAAUGGUACAAAAUUAAUUAUUUUAUGACUCAGGGACAGUAAACUAGCACCUCGUUGGUAAUGACUUUGUCCUUAUAGCUUCUCAAUUAGUGUAUUAUGUAUGCUUUGGAAACAUUUUUGUACUUCAAAUUGCCCCCAGACUCCCAUUCCCAGUGCUCCCAAUUUAUCCUUCUUCCCCAACAAAAAUUUAGGAGUCUGUGUUACACAUUAGCAAAUCAGCAGUAUUUUAAAAUGAUUUACAGAGAGCUUAAGAGAAAACUGCACUUUUCAAAUUCCAUGGCUGGAAACUCCCUUGAGCUUUAAUUUAAAGUCCUUGCUUCCUGAAAUCUCAUUGACAGAAAACAUCCAGUACUUCAGUUAUAAAUGUUUUUUUUUUUUUGAAGUGAUUUUUAAUAGGCUCACAUUCUGCUUCUAAUCAAUCAACUAUUUGUAUGGAAACAAUGGCAUAGAGACUUUUUCUUAAGGACACAUACUCUGGUUGAUAAGAAUAUAUAGAUCUGGGACAAUGGCUAGUCUAACAAGAAGUUCACGGGCUACUUUAAACAGAUGGUAUCUGCUGCUUUGACAUGCAACAGUGAGCACAACAUAAAUAAUAUUAUUCCUUUACAGACAUACCUGAAUUUGCCAGGAAAGAUUAUUGGGGUGAAUUUAACAUUAUAAAAACAUUUGUAUUGUACAACUAAUGGUAGACAUUGGUAGUUUUUGCUGGCAGUGAACUGGCGAAGCUGCUGAAACCUUUGUAAAUAAAAUCUGGUUCUUCAACAAUGCACACAUGGAUUUUAUUUAUGAUGCUUUUCAAUAACCCUGAACUUAGGGAUCAGUUGGUUGUAGUGUAAAAAGCAGUAGUAGACCACCCAGGAUGAAGCAAAAAAUAAAUCUUGGAAAUAUAUGGCAUGUACACAUGAAUACACUGUUAAUGCUGGUUGCACUUUUAAGUGUUGGCUCUACACAUUAUUAGAUUUAAUGGCACCAAAAUAUUCCAAGGAAACAGCAUUUGAUUACUGUUUUUGCUAAAUUGCCCAUUUAAGAAAGCCUUUCUGUUGGUAAUCUAAGUUGUUCUAUUUAUAGGACAUAUUUAAGUUACUAUAUUCUCUUCAUAGAAUUGAAAUACUAUAAAAUUACUGGGAAACAAAUGGUCAAGCAGUCACUCUCAUAUUGCUGCCAAACUUCAGGAAGCCUACUACUGCAAGCCUAGUCCAGGAAAAUCUGUACCUUCAUUAUCCUAGGGAACUUAAAGGGGAUGGGAUGAGAACAUUAUCUACAAAGUAUACCCUCUCAUUACAUUGCCCUGCCUCUCAUAAGGGUGUUAUGUAAAAACUAGAUAAAACUAUUUACACAGUUGAUGUGUUCCAUACUCUUUUUUAUCCAAGAAGAAACAGAAGAAGCAUUACUUUUUAAAAAUUUAAAUAAUAGAAAUAUCUUCUUUUUAAAAAAAGGUUUAUUUAUUUUAUACAUAUAUAGAGAGUCCAGGAAUGAGCAGGGGAACUGCAGAGAAAGAGAGAAUUCCAAGUAGAUUCCUUUCUGAGCACAAAGCCUGAAUGGGGGCUCCAUCUCAUGACCUUGAGAUCUUGACCUGAGCCAAAACUAAGUGUUGGACAUUCAUCUGAUUGCCUCACCCAGGUGUCCCAUAAAAGAAAUAUCUCCUAAGUGAAAUUCUCCUACCUCCAAUCCAGCCUGUGUCAUUGUUUUAAAAUGCAACAACUUACCAAUUUCUGUCACAAUAUUCUCGAAAUAUGUUGUACUUUGUCGUUAUCAAAGGUAAUUAAGUAAUUUUGAUCUGAUAUUCCAGGACCCACAUAUUUUAGUGUCUGAUAUCCACCCUCAUGCCAACAGACCCUGGAGAAGGGUGAGCCUUCUUAGGAUUCAGACAGGAGAAAGCCUACGUGGGUCAGGGAAGUCUUGAGAGAUGAGCCAUAGUAUAUAGUAGACCGUUCGGUCUAUAUGUGUGUCCUUAAGGAAAGGAGAUCCAAAUCUACAGGAAUGAGUCACUUAGAGAACGGCUGUUCAGACAUUAAUGUAGACACAAAUCAUUUGGGGUCUGAGCUAAAAUGCUAGUUCCAAUUCCAUAGUUCUACGAGGGGCCUCAGGUGUCUGUAGUUCUGAUAAGCUCCCAGGUGCUGUUGCUAUCAGUAGUCUACACUUCCACCACAUGUUCGGAGUAGCAAGGACCAACAGAGAUCAGUAGCACACAGUGAUGGGAUCUCCAGAAGGAUAAAAAGAGGAAGAAGACAGGAACACAGGCUUUUGCUUUGUUAAUAAAAGAGAUGAUCCCUGUGUUCCUUUAUGCUUUUCCUUCCUUUGAAGAUCAAAGUACUUUCUUCCCUUGUCUGUCCCAGCCACUAGUCUUUCUUCCAACUCUCAUAGCAUUUGAGAUCUUUCUGCUCCUAUGUUCCUAAUAUUUCUAGUCGUUAAGCACUCUCUUCUAAUCCCUUAAUGUUAAUUAUGUCGUCGCGCAGCCAAUAAGCAAAAGCUGUGCACAAGGUGAGUUGUGUUGUAUUCAGUGCAAGAUAUUUAAGCAUAGCAGGACUGAUCAGAAGCACCGAGAAACCCGGAUCCUGCCAGAUACCCAGAAAGCAGACCUAGAUUUAAUGUAUAAAAGGAAAUCCAGUUCGAUUUUCUCUGAAAGUUCUCUCCAGUGCUAUCAUGAAUAUAUAUACUGCUUCAUUGAGUUUGACCUUAAUGCUCUUUCGGCUGUUACAGUAUAAAACUUUUGGACAGCUCUUAUUCUUUUUUCCUCCUUCCAGUUUGUCUAACAUACACAGUAGCCUUUCCUGGGGACCCAGUCCACAUGGUCUCUUAAAAUUCCUACGAAUGGAAUAAUUCUACUUCAAAGCCUGCACUGUUAUUUCAUCUCUUGAUGCUGCUUUUUAUCAAUUUCCAAGAUAGUUAAAGCUGAAAGACAACAAUACUUCAAACAAAAGGCAAUUAUUUAAAAAGAAUUACCAAAUAAUUGAAGCCAAUCAGUGUUCACACUUUCGGAACUUUUAUUCUUUCCUACCAGACCUUGAAGUCUGUCAGAUUUUGCUGAGACCUUUGUAUUAGUGAACAUCUGGAUCAUGUCAUAGUUUGGUCUUAUUUUUGCCUAACAGUUUCUUUGUGGAUUUGCCUCCCACAACACAUAUGGUUUAUUUCUGAUGUUUAUCCUUAGCUUGGCAGGGUUUUGAAGUGUCAUGUCUCUUUUCAUCUCUACUUUUUAAAGGAAGUGAUUUUGCAUAAAUUAUUAUCUUUCUAGGUGUGAAUUAUGGUAGUGUUCUUUCUCAUGUGUUCUUGAAAGACUAUGAAUAAAUGCCUGUUCUCAGAGUUUCUUCCUUUAAAUUAUAUCUUAGCAUGAGAAAUAUAAUUUCUUCUAUACUAUUUUCUACAUUUGAUCCUAUUUUUGAAAGUUCUUCAUCAGCAGUUGCAAUUGCUUAGACAGUAUCUUAAGAUCUUUAUGUAAUAUACUUAUAUCAAAAGAAUGAUUUUGCUUUCUGGAAGAUUGUUUAUGAAGUAUUGCAUGCAGAAAUGUCUUCUUUUCAAGCUUGAACAUGCUAACUUUGGAAAUUGUGUGUUCUACACACACACACCAGUGAUUACUUAGUACAGAACAACUGGCUAAAUCACCUUUAGGAUAU
rnacentral:lncRNA from 1 species